ACCAGGAUGGCCGAGUGGUUAAGGCCUUGGACUUAAGAACCAAUAGAUAUCUGUCUGUGUGGGUUCGAACCCCACUCCUGGUA
rnacentral:tRNA from 1 species